rnacentral:misc_RNA from 1 species
GAUUUGCGUUCUUGCCUUGGCUAUGGGCAGUCAAUUGCUUCUACUUCUGGCCAGUUCUCCGCCACUCCCGCGCCUUCCCUCGCAUUCGCCCCUAUGUUGUGAGAUCAGCGGCAGGAUUCUCAGUAUUCACAUUUCUUCUUUGCUCAUGGGCCUUGACAUUUGCCAUUGGAGGGGAGGAACUCUUUGGCCCUGUUUGGGAUAAACUUGUUAUGUACAAUGUUGCCGACAGAUUAGGCUUGACGGGUUGGGUAUAGUCAUGUUCUCAUGUGAAAUUAAAGGUCAUGACAAAUAUUCAUUCAGCUCUUUUGAUUGCCUGGUUUUUAACAUAUGUCUUGUAUUUAUUACCCCAAUGUGAGGCCACUACCUGUUAUUUGUAAUGGAGAAGAUAUUUAGAUAUGACUCUUGUUUUGUUAUUAUAUUCUAUGAUUU